CUUUCUGUUCCAAAAGUCACCCCCCCCACACACACCCAAGUGCCGUUGACACUGUGCAGGCGGGAAGAUCGGCUGGGGUAGAGAUGUAGCAUCAAACAUUCACGGAUGUCCAGGGAGCGCGGGCCCACAGGCUGCUGGCCAGAGGUACUAGGAGGGCACAGGCUGGAGCCCGAGGAGGAUGCACCUUCCCCUGCCUUGGAAAGACUGGAGCCUGGGAGUACAAUACACUAGUCAUGUUGAAGAUAACAGACCUGACCCGAGAGCGGUUGCCAAAUGAAGCAAUGUGUGGUUCUUUUAAGCCAUCAAGGGGCUGCUCACCAUGUAUGCUGGACCAUAUUAAGCCCUGAGGUGAUCACAAAAGAAGUUUGCCUGGGACCCAUCUGUCUCCUGCCGCUGUCCACAAGAUGGAGAAGGCGGAAGCAACCCGAGGAGCCGUCUUUGUCUAAGCCCCAUGGCUUUGGCCAUGACCAUGACUGCAGCCUCUAAGACCGCUGCUGAAUCCUUCACGGAAGCUAUCACAGCCCCCUAAUCCUGGAUCCCCAGGUCCUCCGGGCCCUCCUGCUGUACCUACCGACGCCAUCCGCCAUUUGGUGUUUUCCAGAAAAAGAAGAAGAAAAAGCUUGUUUGUGUGUUCUUCAGAUACAUUUUUAUCUUAUUUAUGUGUAUGUAUGCUAUACAGUCAUCCAGUGCUGUUUAGGGGAUAACAAGAAUAAAAAUCUAUACAGUUCAGUGCAGCUACAAAUAUUUUUCAAAUGUUUCU